rnacentral:rRNA from 1 species
AGUGAACGCUGGCGGUAGGCCUAACACAUGCAAGUCGAACGGCAGCACAGUAAGAGCUUGCUCUUACGGGUGGCGAGUGGCGGACGGGUGAGGAAUACAUCGGAAUCUACUUUUUCGUGGGGGAUAACGUAGGGAAACUUACGCUAAUACCGCAUACGACCUACGGGUGAAAGUAGGGGAUCUUCGGACCUUGCGCGAUUGAAUGAGCCGAUGUCGGAUUAGCUAGUUGGCGGGGUAAAGGCCCACCAAGGCGACGAUCCGUAGCUGGUCUGAGAGGAUGAUCAGCCACACUGGAACUGAGACACGGUCCAGACUCCUACGGGAGGCAGCAGUGGGGAAUAUUGGACAAUGGGCGCAAGCCUGAUCCAGCCAUACCGAGUGGGUGAAGAAGGCCUUCGGGUUGUAAAGCCCUUUUGUUGGGAAAGAAAAGCAGCAGGUUAAUACCCCGCUGUUCUGACGGUACCCAAAGAAUAAGCACCGGCUAACUUCGUG